AGUUAUGCUACGGACCAUUUAAAAUUAAUUACGAUUUUCGAUUCAUUCAGUUAUAUUUCAUUAAAAAUACCCCUCUAGAAAAUUCUUUGGAGACGCCUAUUUAAUCGCCUAGGUGCCUAUUUUCGCAGCGAAGCAAGAGGAAAGCACCGCGCAUGUUUCUAUCGGAUCGAUACGAAUCGAUUUCCGAUAACAUUGAACAUCAGUUGGUCAGGAAACGGCUCGAACGGCGGAUGGCGCGCCGCUAGUAAGGUUAUUCCCACUUUUAAGUGACGGGAUUGAAACAAAUUUUCGAUGGAAAUCAAAUAAUUAGAAGGAAAUUAAGCGUCAGCUAAUCCCAUCUACAAAACUAGAUAACCAAAGUUAAACAUGUCUUUGGACUUCUUCACAUAACAGAAGUGGAUAUUCCGGCGUGCCUGCCUUGUUUCAAUCCCGUAACUUAGUUAUUUAGUCACACAACGUGACUCUAUCACGUUAAUUAUGUACUAGUUAGAUUGCUAGCCACUCUGUGAUGGUUUAUCCCUAGAGUGGGCUGUUUUUGUUGGAUAAUACACCAUACCUGAUUUUACUACAACCAGCAUCUUCACCCAGGACCUUGCAGUAGGACUUACUCACCACAGCAGCCAACCAGCGUUAGCGUGCCAAAAGAAUUCAUCUCUAUGGACUUGCAACCCUACUUUUAACCGGCUGUUGUGUAAAAGCUAAGUUUAUUUACUUUUUCUGUAUUUACUUUUGGGUAAGAUAUAUUUGCUACAUUGUAAACUUUUCGUAUGCAUACGAUUAGGAAGAGUACAUAUAUUUUCGUGAUAGAUAGGGUUUUAGGUUGUUGUUUUUUUUUCUUUUUGAUUCAGUAUAAGUAGGAGUUAGUUAAAAUAAAUAAAAUCAGGUCUUGUUUAAUAAUCAUAAAUAAUUGUAUCUUAAAAUUUAAUAGGGAAUCGGGUUGUAAAAUUUUGUCGCGGAUUUUAAAUAGGGAAUACGUCUCGUAGGUUUUUUUUGUAAAAUAUAUAAAGAGUCACUGACCAACUCAUUUAUAUAGACCUUUUUGCUAUUCCAACGGACUUUUGAUUUGGAUUUUGAUUUUAAUACUUUUGCUUGGCCAGUGAUAGUGGAUAAUUGCUUGUUGAGUGGCCUUUGCGGUCCUAUUUUAUCUUUUCCCCAUCCACUAUCACUGUUAUUACGUUGCGUUAUAUGUAAAGUGUUAACAUUUAAUAUUUAUUAUUAAUAUAUUUGUAUGUAUUAAGGUUGGUGUUUUAUUUCAGUCUGUAUUACCAGUAUAUAACAUAGCAAGACAAGAUCAGUAUUUAGUAUUUUGUAUUUCAGGUGGUUGUAACCAGUGUCAUAGAGUUCAUGUUGUUCGUUACUUCAAAAUCUCGAACCUGUCCAACUUCUUGGUUCUGAGAGCCGAGUUGUUCGUUCGAGUUGGCGCCCUUUUUUUCUUCUUCUUUCUUUGUUGUAACUCGAUAUUAUUUUAUCUCUAGCAUUCUUAUCUAUUUUCCUUCCAUUUUUGUAUUAAUAGUCUCAUUUUCUUCCUAGUUACUAUCAUUUCAUUACCAAAUUUUCUUCUUAUAUCUCUAAAGCCAAUAUUCGGUGUAUGGAAGCUAGCCCGAAUACUCAUACUUGAGAUUUAGUGUCUCUCUGCCCUUUUGAUUUUUUUUCCUUCUGAGCUAAGCCCCUCUUCUUUUCGUCUUAAAUCUCUUCGCUCCUAUUUUCCCCCAUAUUUCGUCAGUUCUUCUCUUCAAAAAUCUCUAUACCCAGAGUAUAGAGGGUUCAAUUGGCUAGACCCAACGUGUGGCUUCUUUUACAUUUUUGGCUUUGAAAAUAUUUUCUUUAACUUUUGGUUUUAUCUUGGUGGUUUCAGUGCCUGUGUUUUUAGAUUUUCAUUUUAACGUUUAGUUUAUACUUCAAUUUUUUUUUGGACAGUAUCUUGUAUCUAUAUCUUGAAUAAACUUGUUUUGCUAUGGUAUACUGUGUUGACUGAAUGGAUUGCUUUGUUUUGAUUGGUCAAAUAAUUAUUUUGAAUUAAUAAUAAAUAAAUUGAAAAUUUGAAUAUCUUGAAUUUAGCUAUUUUACAAGUCCGGAAUAGCAUUAAAAGUGAAUCACUACCUUGAAUUAAAAGUUUUUUCGAUUUUAGGUUUAUCGGAAGUUGUAGCAGUACAUUUCAACGGAUUUCACGACUGGACCAAACAAAUAAACAUUACUGGUAUAGGUAUCCACUCACAACAUUAACUUGAGGACAGAGAGUAAGUUAAACUUUACCUACUUACAUUUUAUCUCAUUCUCGUGUUUAUUUCCCAGUUGUUUAUAAUGGCAUCGUUUAAGGUAGAACACAUAUUUAUUUUGUUUACCUAGUUAACAUCUGUUGUUGUGCCUUUUAUCUUAUUUUAUCUUAUCUUAAUGUUGACUAAUAUCUUAGUUUUGGACUUGUUCAUUUUGCUGUGAGUUGCCUCUUGAAAGUCCAAACUAUAUACCAUAGGAGUACAGGAUGGAUAAUGGGAAUUUUCCCCAUCUUGAAUUCUGGGUUAAAUAAGUAUUUACAGGGAUAAUUGGAAAACGCUUUUCAAAAAAAAAAUAUAUUUUCCUUGAUUUAUGGUUUUGUAUGGUUGCGUACGGACCAUGCCCAUAAAUUGUUACAGUCGCUUUACUGUGUCAGGAUCUAGCGUGGGUUCAGGACUGAUCACCCCGAACUUGUGCACUUCACUUGGCUCAGAAAUACAUUAAUAUCUAUAAGUUGUUCCCAGAGUGUCUCAGGUUGAAAUUAGAAUGUGUCAUAUAGAAUUCGAUCGUUCUGAUAUUCAGCAGUAAGUAAGUCUGUUUAACUUGGUUGUCAUCUCCUAUGCUGUUAUCUUUUAAAUGAUUUGAGUUUUAACAUAUCUUUACCUGAAGUGAGUUUACCUUUACCUGAGGUGAGUUUAUCUUUACCUUUACCUGAAGUGAGUUUAUCUUUAUCUUUACCUGAAGUGACUUUACCUUUACCUGAAGUGAGUUUACCUUUACCUGAAGUGAGCUUAUCUUUACCUUUACCUGAGGUGAGCUUAUCUUUACCUUUACCUGAAGUGAGUUUAUCUUUAUCUUUACCUGAAGUGACUUUACCUUUACCUGAAGUGAGUUUACCUUUACCUGAAGUGAGCUUAUCUUUACCUUUACCUGAGGUGAGUUUAUCUCUACCUUUACCUGAAGUGAGUUUACCUUUACCUGAAGUGAGUUUAUCUUUACCUUGAGUUUAUCUCGUACCUUUACCUUGAUGAGUGCAUCUCUUAUCUAUAUCUGAUUGAAUGUAUAUCUUAUCUUUAUCUUGAUUAUUAUAAAGUCCUAAGAAUCUGUCCUUCUCUGUGCUUGUCGUGAGUAAAGAAUUGGAUCACGUCAAUAGUGCAGUUUAGGUAUUACAGUUAGGACCCUAAUUAUAUCUUACCUUUUGUGCAUACCCUCUACCACGAGUAGAUGUGGGCUUGCAAUUAUCUUUACCUUUUAGCAUACUCUAUACCAUGAGUAUAGUGGGCUUGCUAGUAUCUUUACCUAGAUUGUGUCUUCCUAUCACUGCUCAAGAGAGUAGAUGUUAAGGAUUAUCUUUUACCUUGAUUUUUAGUUGUUGGUGAUAUCCAGAACCAUAUCAUUAUUUAUGUUUAGCUUUGUAGUAAUGUAGUUUCAACUAGUCUUGAUGAAUUAGUCCCUCAUUGAAUUCUCGGGUGAUUAGUAGAAUUUGUUCGCUCUAGUAUCAAUGUUGGGUAAAUUUGAUAUGUUGAUUGUUGUGUGUGGUUCUUGGUUAUACUGUGUUAGGUGUUGUUAAUACACACCUGUAAUUUAGAUUUAAUGAUGGGUUACUAACACUUGAGAAUGCAGAUAGUAAGUAGUGUUAAGAGUUGACUUACUCUAUAAGGUUGUAUAAUUAUAUUUAGAAUGUAAGUGAUUAACGUGUAAUUAUUUGUUUUUCUCUAUCUUUGGUUUUACUAAAUUAAAGUAAAUUAUCUUGUUGAAUAACUCAUGUCGGUCAGUUACACAUCCCUUCUAUGUUCUAUACUUUCUGCAAAUAUGAUUAAAUAUAUCUCACGUGGCCUCUAUACUAUGUAUGACUUCGUUCCUGAUUUUUGUUCUGUCCCCUCAGCAAAUAGUAUGACUGUUGAGCCUACCAUCAUUAUGUUUUUAUCCCACAACGUUACUCCUUUACCGUGUCCACCCUCAGGUUCGCCCUAGCGUCAGUUAGUUCUGGAAAAUAAAAAAAAAGGAAACUUGUGGAGUUUUCCUUUUUUUUUGCUGGAGAUAAGGGAGAAUGUAGCAGUUAUGCUACGGACCAUUUAAAAUUAAUUACGAUUUUCGAUUCAUUCAGUUAUAUUUCAUUAAAAAUACCCCUCUAGAAAAUUCUUUGGAGACGCCUAUUUAAUCGCCUAGGUGCCUAUUUUCGCAGCGAAGCAAGAGGAAAGCACCGCGCAUGUUUCUAUCGGAUCGAUACGAAUCGAUUUCCGAUAACAUUGAACAGCAGUUGGUCAGGAAACGGCUCGAACGGCGGAUGGCGCGCCGCUAGUAAGGUUAUUCCCACUUUUAAGUGACGGGAUUGAAACAAAUUUUCGAUGGAAAUCAAAUAAUUAGAAGGAAAUUAAGCGUCAGCUAAUCCCAUCUACAAAACUAGAUAACCAAAGUUAAACAUGUCUUUGGACUUCUUCACAUAACAGAAGUGGAUAUUCCGGCGUGCCUGCCUUGUUUCAAUCCCGUAACUUAGUUAUUUAGUCACACAACGUGACUCUAUCACGUUAAUUAUGUACUAGUUAGAUUGCUAGCCACUCUGUGAUGGUUUAUCCCUAGAGUGGGCUGUUUUUGUUGGAUAAUACACCAUACCUGAUUUUACUACAACCAGCAUCUUCACCCAGGACCUUGCAGUAGGACUUACUCACCACAGCAGCCAACCAGCGUUAGCGUGCCAAAAGAAUUCAUCUCUAUGGACUUGCAACCCUACUUUUAACCGGCUGUUGUGUAAAAGCUAAGUUUAUUUACUUUUUCUGUAUUUACUUUUGGGUAAGAUAUAUUUGCUACAUUGUAAACUUUUCGUAUGCAUACGAUUAGGAAGAGUACAUAUAUUUUCGUGAUAGAUAGGGUUUUAGGUUGUUGUUUUUUUUUCUUUUUGAUUCAGUAUAAGUAGGAGUUAGUUAAAAUAAAUAAAAUCAGGUCUUGUUUAAUAAUCAUAAAUAAUUGUAUCUUAAAAUUUAAUAGGGAAUCGGGUUGUAAAAUUUUGUCGCGGAUUUUAAAUAGGGAAUACGUCUCGUAGGUUUUUUUUGUAAAAUAUAUAAAGAGUCACUGACCAACUCAUUUAUAUAGACCUUUUUGCUAUUCCAACGGACUUUUGAUUUGGAUUUUGAUUUUAAUACUUUUGCUUGGCCAGUGAUAGUGGAUAAUUGCUUGUUGAGUGGCCUUUGCGGUCCUAUUUUAUCUUUUCCCCAUCCACUAUCACUGUUAUUACGUUGCGUUAUAUGUAAAGUGUUAACAUUUAAUAUUUAUUAUUAAUAUAUUUGUAUGUAUUAA
rnacentral:lncRNA from 1 species